AGCGAACGGACGAGAAGCUUGCUUCUCUGAUGUUAGCGGCGGACGGGUGAGUAACACGUGGAUAACCUACCUAUAAGACUGGGAUAACUUCGGGAAACCGGAGCUAAUACCGGAUAAUAUUUUGAACCGCAUGGUUCAAAAGUGAAAGACGGUCUUGCUGUCACUUAUAGAUGGAUCCGCGCUGCAUUAGCUAGUUGGUAAGGUAACGGCUUACCAAGGCAACGAUGCAUAGCCGACCUGAGAGGGUGAUCGGCCACACUGGAACUGAGACACGGUCCAGACUCCUACGGGAGGCAGCAGUAGGGAAUCUUCCGCAAUGGGCGAAAGCCUGACGGAGCAACGCCGCGUGAGUGAUGAAGGUCUUCGGAUCGUAAAACUCUGUUAUUAGGGAAGAACAUAUGUGUAAGUAACUGUGCACAUCUUGACGGUACCUAAUCAGAAAGCCACGGCUAACUACGUGCCAGCAGCCGCGGUAAUACGUAGGUGGCAAGCGUUAUCCGGAAUUAUUGGGCGUAAAGCGCGCGUAGGCGGUUUUUUAAGUCUGAUGUGAAAGCCCACGGCUCAACCGUGGAGGGUCAUUGGAAACUGGAAAACUUGAGUGCAGAAGAGGAAAGUGGAAUUCCAUGUGUAGCGGUGAAAUGCGCAGAGAUAUGGAGGAACACCAGUGGCGAA
rnacentral:rRNA from 1 species